GGGGAUGAUUACGAUCGACGGGAAAGCUCUUUAAAAACUGCAAGCCGACUUGGUAUGUAGUCGUAAAAGAAGUACCAAACAUUAAGUGCUGAUAAUGAUUCACGCACAACCGAAGAGAUUGCAGCCAGCGUAAAAGCGAAGCUUGCCAAUCUUUUUGGUGCCCGUGACGUUGUAUACGCAACUGUCUAAGGCCAUCUGCAAAUAUCUUUCUCCUGAUGGGAUAUUGCAGGUGUAAACACAGUCGGGAUGCUGUCAAUAUCAUGAAUAAAUAUUGACUCAAGACUUUUUCUUACUUUCUUAAUUGAUCGUUCACUGGGAUAUUAAGAAAGGACAUCUUUACAGUGAACUAAGCUUGUAGAAGUUUUCAAAGAAUUUUUUUCGGACUCCGCCUCACAGGCGGACAUCUCCACCA
rnacentral:tmRNA from 3 species